CCUACGGGAGUCAGCAGUGGGGAAUAUUGGGCAAUGGGCGCAAGUCUGACCCAGCAACGCCGCGUGAAGGAAGAAGGCUUUCGGGUUGUAAACUUCUUUUCUCAGGGACGAAGUAAGUGACGGUACCUGAGGAAUAAGCCAGGGCUAACUACGUCAGAGCAGCCGCGGUAAUACGGAGGUGGGAAGGGUUAUUCGGAUUUAUUGGGUGUAAAGGGCGUGGAGGGGGGAGCGGAAGUCAGAUGUGAAAACUCAGGGCUCAAACCUGAGCCUGCAUUUGAAACUGUGUUUCUUGAGUGCUGGAGAGGCAAUCGGAAUUCCGUGUGUAGCGGUGAAAUGCGUAGAUAUACGGAGGAACACCAGUGGCGAAGGCGGAUUGCUGGACAGUAACUGACGCUGAGGCGCGAAAGCGUGGGGAGCAAACAGGAUUAGAUACCCUUGUAGUC
rnacentral:rRNA from 1 species